ACAACCGAGAAGUCGUAAGAAACUCAACUUCCAGUCUACGAUACAAAUAUUGUAUAGUCUACUAUUGCUGAGAAUUUCAAGUGAUUGUGAAUCAAGAAGUACUUUACCGCAGCAUACUAGAUUUGAAGCGUGAGGAAAGAAAUCCGAAGCGGCCACUACUUUCGUCUCCCCUCAAUGGCCACAUACGACAGGUUUGAGUCUUCAUCUGGUCCAUUUUAACCCACGUCAGUCUUUCCUCACUGAAUCGCCAGAGCACCACCUUAGCGGAAGUUGGCCCACUUAGGAAGAGCCGGAGGCGGUCUCUGGUGGCAGAUCUGUGAACUAGUCAUCAUGGGAGGUCACUCCGCCCAAGGCAGUCAGCCAGAAGAUUCGUACAACAUUCGCCGUGUGGCGGAUGCCAGAAUGUCGGCCAAACAAUGGAACUGUAAUUGUGCGUUGUAGGUAAAUAAACUUGUUCAUUGCGUGGAAGAUGAAAUCAGGCUGCUCACCAGGAAGUCAGCGUCUUCGUGUCAAAACUGAAAACAUAGCGCCCGAAGGUGUAAUGUAAGUUUAAUUGGACGCUCGUCAGAGGUUCUGUUGUGUCACUUAUAACCCAUUUUAAGACAUGGAUUAGCUGUUGGGUUUUUUAUAUACAUAACUCCUGAAAAAAAUAACAUCAGCACGUCUAAUGAAGAGUAAAAUAAACUAAAAUAACAAUCAACAUUUGAAUCGAAUUCACACCCGUAAGAUUGAUUUACAUGAGCAGUACUUAGAAUAAAGCCCAAACUGACGUAAACUGACAAGAGGCCGGAUGUCACUGCUUAUACAUGUGACAGUCUGUCAAUUAUUACAUUGUUCUACAUGUAAUUGUCCUCUGGGUUUGACUUUUAUUUUCUAUUUUUACAUAA